AGCAGCCGCGGUAAUUCCAGCUCCAAUAGCGUAUAUUAAAGUUGUUGCAGUUAAAAAGCUCGUAGUUGAAUUUCGGGGUUAGCAGGUCGGUCGUGCCAUCGGUAUGAACUGGUCUCGCUGAUCCCUCCCUCUUGACGAACUGUGAUGCCAUUAAUUUGGUGUCGCAGGGAAUCAGGACUGUUACUUUGAAAAAUUAGAGUGUUUAAAGCAGGCUCACGCUUGAAUACAUUAGCAUGGAAUAAUGAAAUAGGACGUUUGAUCCCAUUUUGUUGGUUUCUAGGAUUGACGUAAUGAUUAAUAGGGAUAGUUGGGGGCAUUAGUAUUCAAUUGUCAGAGGUGAAAUUCUUGGAUUUAUUGAAGACUAACUACUGCGAAAGCAUUUGCCAAGGAUGUUUUCAUUAAUCAAGAACGAAAGUUAGGGGAUCGAAGACGAUCAGAUACCGUCGUAGUCUUAACCAUAAACUAUGCCGACUAGGGAUCGGAUGAUGUUAAUUUUUAAUGACUCAUUC
rnacentral:misc_RNA from 1 species